rnacentral:rRNA from 1 species
UACGUAGGGUGCAAGCGUUGUUCGGAGUUACUGGGCGUAGAGGGUGCGUAGGCGGUUGUUUAAGUUUGGUGUGAAAUCCCACGGCUCAACCGUGGAAGUGCACUCGAAAACUGCAUAGCUAGAGUCCUGGAGAGGAAGGUGGAAUGCUUGGUGUAGAGGUGAAAUUCGUAGAUAUCAAGCGGAACACCGGUGGCGAAGGCGGCCUUCUGGACAGUGA